CCUUAGCAAGGUGGAGUAUUCAUUGGAGCAAGAAAAACAUAUAUUCAUAAGUUGGAAAUUCAAGCAAGUUGGAGAAUCAAAGAAGGAGAUUUUGGCGGAUUUGCAACUUGAAUUUGGAAUAGCAUAAGGAGCGGAAAGAGGUCAGCAGGUAGACGGACCUGAUUUCUAGGAGUUCUAUCAGCAGUUAUCGGCAGAG